ACUGAACGCUGGCGGCGUGCUUAACACAUGCAAGUCGAUCGGUAACAGGUGUAGCAAUACAUGCUGACGAGAGGCGGACGGGUGAGUAAUGCUUGGGAAUCUGCCUAUUAGUGGGGGACAACCCGGGGAAACUCGGGCUAAUACCGCAUACGCUCUACGGAGGAAAGCCGGGGACCGCAAGGCCUGGCGCUAAUAGAUGAGCCCAAGUCGGAUUAGCUAGUUGGUAGGGUAACGGCCUACCAAGGCGACAAUCCGUAGCUGGUCUGAGAGGACGACCAGCCACACCGGAACUGAGACACGGUCCGGACUCCUACGGGAGGCAGCAGUGGGGAAUAUUGGACAAUGGGGGCAACCCUGAUCCAGCGACGCCGCGUGGGUGAAGAAGGCCUGCGGGUUGUAAAGCCCUUUCGGUGGGGAAGAAAGUCUCGACCUAAUACGUCGGGACCUUGACGUAACCCACUAAAGAAGCACCGGCUAACUCUGUGCCAGCA
rnacentral:rRNA from 1 species